rnacentral:tRNA from 1 species
AAAAAGGUAAGCUAAUUAAGCUAUUAGGUUCAUACCCUAAAUAUAAAGGUUAUAAUCCUCUUCUUUUUA